GUGCUAUGAUGAAAUUAUUGCUUCUGAUGAACUUGUGUUGACAAGAAAUCGAGCUUUUUAAAACUGAGCAUC